UACGGAGGAUGCGAGCGUUAUCCGGAUUUAUUGGGUUUAAAGGGUGCGUAGGCGGUAUGGUAAGUCAGCGGUAAAAGCCCGGGGCUCAACCCCGGCGAGCCGUUGAAACUGCCGUGCUAGAGAGGAAGAGAAGUAGGCGGAAUGCGCAGUGUAGCGGUGAAAUGCUUAGAUAUUGCGCAGGACUCCGAUUGCGAAGGCAGCCUGCUGGACUGUAACUGACGCUGAUGCUCGAAAGUGUGGGUAUCAAACAGG
rnacentral:rRNA from 1 species